rnacentral:tRNA from 1 species
GCGGUUGUGGCUCAGCGGUAGAGUGCGUGCCUCUUACGUAUGAGACCCUGGGUUCGAUCCUCAGCACCACA